rnacentral:tRNA from 1 species
AUUUAAAUAGUUUAAUUAAAACCUUGUAUUUUCAUUACAAAAAUAGGGUAACCUUUUAAAUA